rnacentral:rRNA from 1 species
GAUGAACGCUGGCGGCGUGCCUAAUACAUGCAAGUCGAGCGAACGGACGAGAAGCUUGCUUCUCUUAUGUUAGCGGCGGACGGGUGAGUAACACGUGGAUAACCUACCUAUAAGACUGGGAUAACUUCGGGAAACCGGAGCUAAUACCGGAUGAUAUUUUGAACCGCAUGGUUCAAAAGUGAAAGACGGUCUUGCUGUCACUUAUAGAUGUUUCCUCGCUGCAUUAGCUAGUUGGUAAGGUAACGGCUUACCAAGGCAACGAUGCAUAGCCGACCUGAGAGGGUGAUCGGCCACACUGGAACUGAGACACGGUCCAGACUCCUACGGGAGGCAGCAGUAGGGAAUCUUCCGCAAUGGGCGAAAGCCUGACGGAGCAACGCCGCGUGAGUGAUGAAGGUCUUCGGAUCGUAAAACUCUGUUAUUAGGGAAGAACAUAUGUGUAAGUAACUGUGCACAUCUUGACGGUACCUAAUCAGAAAGCCACGGCUAACUACGUG